rnacentral:rRNA from 1 species
AGCGAACGCUGGCGGCAGGCCUAACACAUGCAAGUCGAACGAACCCUUCGGGGUUAGUGGCGGACGGGUGAGUAACACGUGGGAACGUGCCUUUAGGUUCGGAAUAACUCAGGGAAACUUGUGCUAAUACCGAAUGUGCCCUUCGGGGGAAAGAUUUAUCGCCUUUAGAGCGGCCCGCGUCUGAUUAGCUAGUUGGUGAGGUAAUGGCUCACCAAGGCUACGAUCAGUAGCUGGUCCGAGAGGAUGACCAGCCACAUUGGGACUGAGACACGGCCCAAACUCCUACGGGAGGCAGCAGUGGGGAAUCUGGCGCAAUGGGCGAAAGCCUGACGCAGCCAUGCCGCGUGGAUGAUGAAGGUCUUAGGAUUGUAAAAUCCUUUCACCGGUGAAGAUAAUGACUGUAGCCGGAGAAGAAGCCCCGGCUAACUUCGUGCCAGCCGCCGCGGUAAGAC